CUCCUCCUAUGUUUUGAGCUUCGCUAAUUGACAAGCACCUGUUCGAGACAUCAGGAUUUAGAGAUUUGCAGUGUAUUUUAAUUGGGAACAAAAUGACAAAUUUGCAAUGAUGAUUUUUAUAACUACGAAAACUUCAAUACUUGCAUACAUCAUUAAGUGUGCUACGAAAAAGGUAGUGCUCCAGCUCAAACAAUUCUCGCCGUGCGACCUUGGCAACGAACCAGCGGGUCAGCGCACAUCCGGCUCAACAACGUGGCUGUGGAUUAGAGCGCCCGCUGAACGACGCCAGGAUUACUAACUACAACGUCAGCGUGUGCUCCG